rnacentral:rRNA from 1 species
GACGAACGCUGGCGGCGUGCUUAACACAUGCAAGUCGAACGGAAAGGCCCUGCUUUUGUGUGGUGCUCGAGUGGCGAACGGGUGAGUAACACGUGAGUAACCUGCCCUUGGCUUUGGGAUAACUUCAGGCAACUGGGGCUAAUACCGGAUAGGAGAUCCUGCUGCUUGGUGGGGGUUGGAAAGUUUCGGCGGUUGGGGGUGGACUCGCGGCUUAUUAGCUUGUUGGUGGGGUAGUGGCUUACCAAGGCUUUGACGGGUAGCCCGCAUGAGAGGGUGACCGGGCACAAGGGGCCUGAGAUACGCCGCAGACUCCUACGGGAGGCAGCAGUGGGGAGUAUGACACAAUGGGGGGAAGCCUGAGGCAACAGUGCCGCGAGCGGGAUGAAGGCUUACGGGUGGUAAACCGCUUUCGCCUGAGACGAAGCGGGAGUGACGGUAAUGGGUAAAGAAGCACCGGCUAACUACGUG